AGGACGAACGCUGGCGGCGCGCCUUACGCAUGCAAGUCGCACGGACCUUCGGGUUAGUGGCGGACGGCUGAGUAACGCGUAGGUAACCUAUCCAGUGGUGGGGGACAACUCGCCGAAAGGCGAGCUAAUACCGCAUGUGUUCCCGGUGUGAGAUUCACCGGGACGAAAGCCGCAAGGCGCCACUUGAGGGGCCUGCGUCCUAUCAGGUAGUUGGUGGGGUAACGGCCUACCAAGCCUGUGACGGGUAGCUGGUCUGAGAGGACGACCAGCCAGAAGGGGCUGAGACACGGCCCCUACUCCUACGGGAGCAGCAGCGAGGAUCUGGGACAAGUGGGACGAAAGCCUAGACCCAGGCGGCGCCGCGUGAGGGAUGGAAGGCCGUUCGGUACGUAACCUCGUUUGUAGAGGGAAGUAAGUUCGUGGACGUACCGUCGACG
rnacentral:rRNA from 1 species